rnacentral:rRNA from 1 species
AACGAACGCUGGCGGCAGGCCUAACACAUGCAAGUCGAACGGGUGUCGCAAGACAUCAGUGGCAGACGGGUGAGUAACACGUGGGAACCUUCCUCGGGGUACGGAACAACGCAGGGAAACUUGCGCUAAUACCGUAUACGACCGUUGAGGAGAAAGAUUUAUCGCCCUGAGACGGGCCCGCGUCGGAUUAGCUAGUUGGUGGGGUAAUGGCCUACCAAGGCGACGAUCCGUAGCUGAUCUUAGAGGAUGAUCAGCCACACUGGGACUGAGACACGGCCCAGACUCCUACGGGAGGCAGCAGUGGGGAAUCUUGGACAAUGGGCGCAAGCCUGAUCCAGCCAUGCCGCGUGAGUGAAGAAGGCCUUCGGAUUGUAAAGCUCUUUUACCAGGGACGAUAAUGACGGUACCUGGAGAAUAAGCCCCGGCAAACUUCGUGCCAGCCGCCGCCGUAA